rnacentral:rRNA from 1 species
UUCCCCGGUCCGGAAGGUCCGGGUAAUCUUGUUAUGCGUCGUGAUGGGGAUAGAUCUUUGGAAUUAUAUAUCCUUGAACGAGGAAUUCCUAUUAUGCGCACGUCUUUACAUUGCGCNGAUUAACUCCCUGCCCUUUGUACACACCGCA